GUUGAGGGCUACAGUUGGACUUGCAUCCUCAAAAACUAGUCGGAGACAGUUGGGACCUAAAUUGAGGUGUCCACCUGUAUUCGUCUUUUGGUAGGUACCAUGGCAUUCAGUAGUUGUACCUUCACCCAAAGUCACUCCGCUGAUAGUUAAGAGCCUUUUGCUUGCGUAUACGUACUCGUGAUGUAAAUCACUAAGAUUCAUAGUAUAAACAAUAUAUGUAUUUUGAUUGAUGAUGCCACUAUGAGUUGGCAAUGGGUGACAUUAUUUUGAAUUAUAUAAAUAUAAGUAUUUGAUUGCCAUAGUAUAUCAUUGAAUAUUUUAUAGUUGAGAGUUAUGAAAUGUGACUUUAGGAAUGAUUGCUGAAAUGACAAUCAGGAUUGCAUAAAAAAAAAAGACUUACUUGGGCUUAGUGGGCUAUACUCAUUGAGCCCAUGUGCCGGUCAGGGCUCGGGAUUUGGACUGUGACAGGUAUGGUGGAGGUGCAGAUUUUACAGGAGGAGGCAGUGACUUGUAUUGAUAUGGUGGAGGGGAAUGCUUUGGAGGUGGAGGUGACUUCUAGUGGCCCGGUGGGUGGUAUGGGUGCUUUGGUGGUGGAGGGGAUGCAUGCUUGUAAGUUGGGCAGGUGGCUGCCACAAUGGUGACUAUGAGGCAAAAUGCCAAGGCAUAAACCAGCCCUGGCAGUCCAGGCGAUUUCAUUGCUAGCAGUUGAACUCUUACACUGGUAAAUAGAUGUAAGAACUAUUGCUUUGUCGAUUGAUUGCUGAGAUACUAAGAUUGUAGCUAUCCCCAUUUAUAGUGCUCUCUUCAAUAAUCAUUUACUGAAUAAUUGUUCUUAUUUAAUAACCUAAGAGGCUGGAUGUAAAUCUUUAAAUAUUGUUUCAUGUUCGUUCA